ACGUGAGCACACAGUGAGAAGGCGGAGGACCAUCUGCAAGCAGGAAGAGAGCCCUCGCUAGAACCCCCCACGGUGGCAUCUGAUAGUGGACUUCUAGCUUCCAGAACUGAACUCAUAAAUGUCACAUCAGGCUGCCUCUUGGUGAAUUUUUAAUCAACGGGGAGAAUUUCAGCUACAAAUAGACCAAGAAUCAAGAGGCCCACUAUUGAUCGGUCAAAGUGGCACUUAUGAACCUGAGGUUGAAGCAGUUUGGAUAAAAGGAUUCUGGGCUUUCGAUGGCCCCAGAGACAUCUUUUUCCAUCAAGUCCAGGCUUGCUGAUCGGUACAGCUGAGAACAUGUUGAAUUUGAUGUGCCUGUGGAUAUUUGAGUCUGGAACAUUGAAGACAAGUUUGGUCUGGAGAUGUAGACUGGGGAUAUCUCAGCACACAGAUGAUAACUGAAAUGAUGGAGCGGAUGAUAUAAACUGGAGAGAGUCUGGUGUGGGAAGAGUCUUCCCUGAGGUGGCCGAAAGAUGUAAUUCUUACUCCAAAGACUGAAAUAGAGACAAGAGAAGCUGAAGUUACAGGGUUUUGUCAUUGGGAAGACAGUAGAGUGUGUCAUAUCCCAAGAGUGAAGCAAGGACAAACCAAAGAACAACUGGGAAGAUCUGGGAGAAAAAGGAAAUGAUGCAACUGAGUCACAGAGAAGUUAAGUAAUCUGCCUGCCGACACUCGGGUCGAUGCCGCCUCAUUCCAUCACUCGGGCAAUGGAGCCAAAGGCCACGUUCACAACCACUAGGCUGUCCCAGCCCCUUGGUAUGAUUUGUCCCUUCCUAAGCUUCAAAGAUAGCCAGGCAGGAGUUAUUUUAUAGAAUGGAAGUAAUUUCUACGGGGCCAAGCAAUAAUAAGGAAAUUGGAAGUCAAGGACUAUCUUCCGAAUGGAGAAGAAGCUCCAUCAACCACAGAAGGAAAUUAUGAUCACUCCUGCCAUCCUGCUCCUUUGUGUAUCCAGGAUGAAGGGGAGAAUUGGAGUCUUGCACAAUGAAAGGACAACAUUGCUGCCAAAACAAUCCAUCGUGACUGUAGACAUAUUUUCCACCCUCAUCCUGCAGGUUUUCUGCCAGUUGUUGGCCCCUCACCAAUUUUGCUCCUGGGCAGUCUGAGGUGGAACAUAAUUUUGUAUAAAACAAAUUAUGCUCAACCUCACUUAUAAUCAGGGAAAUGUGAGUCAAAACCACAAUAAAAUAUCACCUCAUGC
rnacentral:lncRNA from 1 species